rfam:Glycine soja cultivar W05 scaffold357_5, whole genome shotgun sequence.
UUUUUAUUGGAUGAUGACUGACACGUGUCAUGUUCUGAUUGGAUGUCAACUUUAUGAAAUAUGAAAUGAAUUGUUGUUUUCAUUGAUCAAUCAUAACAUGACACGUGUCAGUCAUCAUUU